AUGAGCGCUGGCGGCGUGCCUAAUACAUGCAAGUCGAGCGCACAGACGAGGAGCUUGCUCCUCUGACGUUAGCGGCGGACGGGUGAGUAACACGUGGAUAACCUACCUAUAAGACUGGGAUAACUUCGGGAAACCGGAGCUAAUACCGGAUAAUAUAUUGAACCGCAUGGUUCAAUAGUGAAAGACGGUUUUGCUGUCACUUAUAGAUGGAUCCGCGCCGCAUUAGCUAGUUGGUAAGGUAACGGCUUACCAAGGCGACGAUGCGUAGCCGACCUGAGAGGGUGAUCGGCCACACUGGAACUGAGACACGGUCCAGACUCCUACGGGAGGCAGCAGUAGGGAAUCUUCCGCAAUGGGCGAAAGCCUGACGGAGCAACGCCGCGUGAGUGAUGAAGGUCUUCGGAUCGUAAAACUCUGUUAUUAGGGAAGAACAAAUGUGUAAGUAACUAUGCACGUCUUGACGGUACCUAAUCAGAAAGCCACGGCUAACUGCGUG
rnacentral:rRNA from 1 species